rnacentral:rRNA from 1 species
GUUAUAGGGUCAAGCGAACAAGUGCAUGUGGUGGAUGCCUUGGCGAUCACAGGCGAUGAAGGACGCGGUAGCCUGCGAAAAGCGGUGGGGAGCUGGCAAACAAGCUUUGAUCCACCGAUAUCCGAAUGGGGAAACCCGGCCCGUAUGGGUCAUCCGUAGCUGAAUACAUAGGCUACGCGAAGCGAACGCGGCGAACUGAAACAUCUAAGUAGCCGCAGGAAAAGAAAUCAACCGAGAUUCCCAGAGUAGUGGCGAGCGAAAUGGGACCAGCCUGCAUUCUUUAUCUGAACUGUCAGCCGAACACUCUGGAAAGUGUGGCCAUAGUGGGUGAUAGCCCCGUAGGCGAAGACAGAUUGGAAGAACUAGGUAUGCGACAAGUAGGGCGGGACACGUGAAAUCCUGUCUGAAGAUGGGGGGACCAUCCUCCAAGGCUAAAUACUCGUGAUCGACCGAUAGUGAACCAGUACCGUGAGGGAAAGGCGAAAAGAACCCCGGGAGGGGAGUGAAAUAGAUCCUGAAACCGCAUGCAUACAAACAGUCGGAGCCUCGCAAGGGGUGACGGCGUACCUUUUGUAUAAUGGGUCAGCGACUUACAUUCAGUGGCAAGCUUAACCGAAUAGGGCAGGCGUAGCGAAAGCGAGUCCGAACAGGGCGAUUAGUCGCUGGGUGUAGACCCGAAACCAGGUGAUCUAUCCAUGGCCAGGUUGAAGGCACGGUAACACGUGCUGGAGGACCGAACCCACUAACGUUGAAAAGUUAGGGGAUGAGCUGUGGAUAGGGGUGAAAGGCUAAACAAACCUGGAAAUAGCUGGUUCUCUCCGAAAACUAUUUAGGUAGUGCCUCGUGUAUCACCUUCGGGGGUAGAGCACUGUCAUGGUUGAAGGGUCCAUUGCGGAUUACUUCGCCAUAGCAAACUCCGAAUACCGAAGAGUGCAAUCACGGGAGACAGACAUCGGGUGCUAACGUCCGGUGUCAAGAGGGAAACAACCCAGACCGCCAGCUAAGGUCCCCAAAUAUGACUAAGUGGGAAACGAAGUGGGAAGGCUAAAACAGUCAGGAGGUUGGCUUAGAAGCAGCCACCCUUUAAAGAAAGCGUAAUAGCUCACUGAUCGAGUCGUCCUGCGCGGAAGAUGUAACGGGGCUAAGUCAUAUACCGAAGCUGCGGAUGCGAGCUAGUCUCGCAUGGUAGGAGAGCGUUCCGUAAGCCUGCGAAGGUGC